CUGCUUCCCACUCUCCACCUCAUCCAUAUUUGUCCUCGUCCCUGCCAGUCUCGAAAAGGCACUCUGUCACGUGUACACAGGAAAGGGCCCUGACAAGAGGAUGGGACUGCAGUUGUGGCUGCCAGGGCCCCGGCCAGGGUGAAAACAAGGAACAUUCCAGAGAAGAUCACAAGGAUGCGAAUAAAAUCGGAGCUGCACAGGGAUCUUUGGGCUGUAAUAGGAGGGGACACACAGGGGUUAGGGGAGGGUCUAGCCCUUGGCUCCCUCAGCCCAGCCCUCCUGUCACCUUGCCUCUCCCCUUCCCCCACCUUAUUCUAUCCCACCCGCCACCGUUGGCCAACUCCUCUCCUAAACAGUGGACUCUGCUUUUUCCCCUCCUCUUAUCCCUAAUCCUAGGAGCUUUCUGUCUGGCUUCCCUCCUGGCCCCUCAUGUAUGCAUUCUCUCUAGCGGUGGGGAUUAAGGAGAAAACUCACGUGGCCAGUGGGUAGAGAGAGUCCGGGCAGGCAGCUGCCUGAAGUCAGCCAGAGUCUGCAUGUGCCCAGCUGUCCUGGCCUCCAGCAUCUCUGGAAAAACAGAGACAGAAUGAGUAGCAGCAGGGAACCCCAUAGGGCACAUCUGAAGGCCUGAGAGGUGCUGGAUGGGAUGGGAAGGCAGAAACAGGCUGACCUUAUCUAGUGGUAGGAGUGGGGAGUACUGGUUGGGGUAUCACCGCUACCCCACGUGAUGGCACAGAGAGUUGCCUAGAACUUACCACUGACAUAAGGUAAGUGGGUGGGCUGAGGGUGUGGGCUCAGGGCCUGAGACGACCGAGCGGUCAGUGAAGGGUUUGGAAGAGGAUCACACUCGGUGCACUCCUUGUCCCUGCACUGCCAGCCAUUGCGACAGGCACACUCAGCAUUGGCAGUGAUGGUGCAGUUGCGAACGAGAAGACCUGGGGGAAGAGAGGACCAGGGAGCAUAGGACACUCAGACCUGUGGAGACCUUCAAGGUCCACUUGCUUCAUCCCCCAACCCCCAUCCCAGGCCCACCUCUAGGGACGUGCUUCCCUUUCCAUUCCCACCCCUGCAAAGGCCUGCCCUUUGCUCACGGCCCCCCAAUGCCUUUGCCAUUAUUAUUGUUAUUAAAGAAGAAAGUUGGACCUUUCAGAAGGAAGAUUCAUGGGUUCAGACAUAGAAACCAUGAAAAGUAGAAAGAGCUUAUAUGACUUUCUCUUGUACUCCCUGAUACAUUUUUUAUUUUUUAUUUAUUUUUUUGAGAUGGAGUCUCGCUCUUGUUGCCGAGGCUGGAGUGCAAUGGCGUGACCUUGGCUCAUUGCAACCUCUGCCUCCCGGGUUCAAGCAAUUCUCCUGCCUCAGCCUCCCAAGUAGCUGGGAUUACAGGUGCCCGUCACCACACCCGGCUAAUUUUUUGUAUUUUUAGUAGCAACGGAGUUUUACUGUAUUGGCCAGGCUGGUAUUAAACUCCUGACCUCAGGUGAUGCACCAGCCUCAGCCUCCCAAAGUGUUGGGAUUACAGGCGUGAGCCACUGUGCUCGGCCCCAAUACUUUAAUAACUUUUAAUUAAAGUAUAAUAUACGUACAGAGAGGCACGCAUGAUUGUAAAGCUUAAGAAUUUGUACAAAUUUGGCUCACAGGGAUAACCAGCAGCAGAUCAACAAAUAGAAAAUAGCCGGGUGAGGCAGGGAAUUGCUUGAACCCGGGAGGUGGAAGUUGCAGUGAGCCGAGAUCAUGCCACUGCACUCCAGCCUGGGCAACAGAGUGAAACUCCGUCUCAAAAAAAAAAAAAAAGAAAAGAAAGAAAGAAAA